GUCAUAAUAGGAAUAAAAUUAAUGAGUAACACUUCUAAUAUUAUGAUGUUAUUCUAUUAUUAACCAAUAAAUAAUUGUUUCAAAAUUGGUUUAAUAAAAAGUCGUUUUUAGAUACCUAUUUUACUGUUUGGUUUUUUUUUGUACGAUAAAAAUAUUCUAAUUUAGGAAAAUUAUAUUUUAUUUGACCAUAUUAUGACAUAUUACACUAAACGUGCUAUACAUUCGUACUAAAAUGGAUACAGCUGAUGAAGAUUCAGAAGAAGUCGUUAAUUCAUUUAAUGAAAACAAUUCUCGUUACACUCAUGAAAGACAAAAUAUAAAUAUAAUAGAAUUCAGCCGACCUUCGUACUGCAUUAAAUGUAAAAUUAUGACCGGCCACAAUACUCCACCUCGUUUAGUUGUGAUAAAAAAUGGACGUCCUGCAAUGUCGUCUUUUUGUUGGAUAUGUAGGUCAAGAAAGAUACGAUUCGUAUCGUACAGACUUUAUCGAGAAUAUACUGGAAGAAAGUUGUGUAUUUUUGUUUAUGUAUAUAGAUGACGGAUGUAUUUUUAUAAUGAUUAUGGUUAAGAAAGGAAGACAAAUAAAGAAGAGUAAAUAUAAUAGAAGACGUCUUUAAAAAUAAAUUUUUAAUUUGAAAAAAUUAUGCUGAAGCCUGAAUUGAUGGUAGUGUUUAAAGAAAAAUUGAAACCCAAUAAAGGCAUAUUAAUUCUCUGCAAGUACAAUUUCCAUCAUAAUAAAUAAAUAUUAACAAGAAUCUACUUGGAUGUUUUAUGCUUUAUUUUAAUACCAAUAAAAUAAUAUGCUACUUAUUAUUUGUAAA